AAUGGGAGAGGCUAGGAAGGUGUGGGGGUAGGGGGCAUAUGGAAAAUCACUCUAUCUUACACUCAGUUUUGCUGUGAACCUAAAACUGCUUUAAACGUCGGUUUAAAAAUUGGUGAUGAAGGCUGGGCGCGGUGGCUCAUGCCUAUAAUCCCUAGCACUUUGGGAGGCCGAGGCUGGUGGAUCACCUGAGGUCAAGAGUUCAAGGCCAGCCUGGCCAACAUGGUGAAACCCUGUCUCUACUACAGAUAAAAAAAUUAGCUGGGUGUGGUCGUGGGCCCCUGUUGUCCGAGCUACUUGGGAGGCUGAGGCAGGAGAAUCACUUGAACCCAGGAGGCAGAGGUUGCAGUGAACAGAGAUCAUACCAUUGCACUCCAGCCUGGGCAACAAGAGCAAAACUCAGUCUCAAAAAAAAAAAGAAAAAAAAAAUGGGUGAUAAACUCAAAGGACCUUUCUUGGAUGUGCAGUGUCAUAAAUUGGAAUGUACACCAUUUUAAUCAUUAUGAUUUUUUACAUCUUUUUUAUUGCCUCUGUAUUUUAUGGUUGCUGAUUAUCUCUUGAACAUCUUAUCAAACAUAAUUCUGAGUCAAUGAACACUCUGGUUGGGGGAAAUAACCCCUAUCUCACACAUCUGUGGAAUUUAUAUUUGGGGACCAGGAUACCAGGAGAGAAUAGGCACAGUACCACACUAUUAGGAGCAUGUGGACCCAGUAACUGUUAUUACUAAACCCAAAAUGUCUGAUUUCAGGAAACAGAUCUUUAAAUUGCUUUAAGAUUUUUUUCAUUUAAAUAGCUUUAAUUUUUUUUCCUUUAUAGUUUAUAGUCAGUUAAUAUUUUCAUGAGAAAGGAAUGUUGGCCAUUUUUUUCCUUCCCCCCCCGCUUUUUUUUCAACUUCUUUUUAACCUUUGGUGAUUUUACUAGAGCAGGGGUCAACAAACUACAGCCCACAGGCCAAUUCAGCCUGCUAUCUGUUUUUGUAAAUAAAGUGUUAUUGGACCACAGCUGUAUUCAUUCAUUACAUAUUGUCUAUGACUGCUUCUGUGUUACAAGGGCAGAAUUGGAUAGUUGUGAUAAAGAUUAUACAGCCCAUAAAAUCUUUCUGGCCUUUCACAGAAAAAAUUUAUCAACCUCUGACCUAGAUGAAUAGUAUUUUGAAGUAUCCUGAUGGCUGAUAAAAACCUUCUGUUAAUAAUGUUGCAGUCUGCUUUGAGAUUUGGCACUUGUAAAUCACUAAAGUUUUGCUCUUUGAAUUAUAGCAAAUUGAUGUGGUAGAGUUGCUUAGCAAGCAGGGAAGAUAGUAUAUGUUUUUAGCUAACUACUUACAUAUGUAAAGCAACUAACUUAUGUGUGGGUUUUUUCAUGAGUAUUUUCCUUGUGUGUGUGUGUGUGUGUGUGUGUGUGUGUGUGUUGUUGUUUCGUUUUGUUUUUUACCAAAUUCUAAAGUAAAGUGCAUUUAGUAUUUGUGGAAUUUGAUGUUAAGAACACAGAGGUGCUUCUCCCUUAGCAGUUAUAGUCUGGGCUUCUGAUGUGGACUUUCUUUUUUUUCUUUCUUUUAUUAUUGUACACCCAAGACGUCAUAAACCUCAGAUCAUUAUAUAUUGGUAUGCUGGAAAUAUAUGGUUUGUAUUCCUGGAAUCUCUAAAGCAGUGGUACAAGAGGUUUUACUACAGAAGGAAUUCAUCUUUAAAACCUUUUAGUUGCAAAUGUUUAGAACCAUGUUCUGUUUGGAGAUUUGUUAGUCUUAAGAGAUUUGACUUAACAAGCUGCAUCCUGUCAGUAAAGUUGGGUAAUUUCCAUUGUUGGCCCAUUCUGGGAAUGGAGAGACAAAACACACCUGCUCUGCAUGACUUAAAGCAAAUAUAAGGAAGUUAGCAUGAAAUCUGGAUGAGAAAGAUAUGAUUCAUUCUGUAAGAAUGGCCAGCUGGCAAGAUUUCUUCCUGAGUUUGAGAACUGGAGCAACACUGUAGCUGUGAUAGUUAUUGGCAACUUAAUAUGAGGUAAAGUAACUUCUUAUCAAUAAUUAGAAACUGAUUUUCAUUGCUUUGAAUAAGCAUAGGCAUACUUAGUCUUUGCCAAAAGUAAUUCAUUUUUAUGCCAGUACCUUUGGCAUAUUUCCUAUCUUCUAUUGUUCUCUUCCCACUUAUUUUUUCACUUGUCACUUGUUGUGUUUCUUUAGAUGGUGAGCCAAAGUCUGUGGUAGGGGUGAUUUCCAUUUCUGCAUAUUACAGAGCAAUUAGCAUAUUGUUAAUAUUCAGCAAAAGUUUUUGCUGUGCUUCCUUAGCUGGUGUUUUGGUUAUUUGAUAGUAAUUGGAGAAAAUUGUUUUCCAAUUUUCUCCAAUUAGGAGAAUAAGGAGAAUGUCAUAUUUAGUAAGAAGUACCUGCUUUAAACAUCAUAGAAAAACCGUAUACAUUAUAAUAGCAAUUGCUUUUCCAAUGUCUUCAUUCCAUGAUCCUGAGCCAAUUCAACAACACGGUUUCAGUUUUUGAGAGCCUGAGGCACUAACCUUGGUUGAUAUAACAUUUUCUUUCCUCUAGAUGUUCAAGCAGUUGCUUAUGAGGAACCAAAACACUGGUGCUCUAUUGUCUACUAUGAGCUCAACAAUCGUGUGGGUGAAGCGUUCCAUGCCUCCUCCACAAGUGUGUUGGUGGAUGGUUUCACUGAUCCUUCCAACAAUAAGAACCGUUUCUGCCUUGGGCUGCUCUCCAAUGUUAACCGGAAUUCCACUAUUGAAAACACCAGGCGGCAUAUUGGAAAAGGAGUUCAUCUUUAUUAUGUUGGAGGGGAGGUGUAUGCCGAAUGCCUUAGUGACAGUAGCAUCUUUGUGCAAAGUCGGAACUGCAACUACCAUCAUGGAUUUCAUCCUACUACUGUUUGCAAGAUCCCUAGUGGGUGUAGUCUGAAAAUUUUUAACAACCAAGAAUUUGCUCAGUUAUUGGCACAGUCUGUGAACCAUGGAUUUGAGACAGUCUAUGAGCUUACAAAAAUGUGUACUAUACGUAUGAGCUUUGUGAAGGGCUGGGGAGCAGAAUACCACCGCCAGGAUGUUACUAGCACCCCCUGCUGGAUUGAGAUACAUCUGCACGGCCCCCUCCAGUGGCUGGAUAAAGUUCUUACUCAAAUGGGUUCACCUCAUAAUCCUAUUUCAUCUGUGUCUUAAAUGGCCCCAGGCAUCUGCCUCUGGAAAACUAUUGAGCCUUGCAUGUACUUGAAGGAUGGAUGAGUCAGACACGAUUGAGAACUGACAAAAGAGCCUUGAUAAUACUUGACCUCUGUGACCAACUGUUGGAUUCAGAAAUUUAAAC
rnacentral:sRNA from 1 species